UGAGGGAUUAAUUUAGAACCAUCCGUUUUAAUUCCUCCUGUCAUCUAAACCGUCCAUAUGAACCGAUAGUAUAUAUUUUUAUCCUAUUAUAUUGACGGUUUGGAUGACAGGAUGUUUUGGUACGAACGGUUUGUUAUAGGCUUUUGUAUAUUUUUCCUAUCCUCACCUCUGCAUCUGUGGGGCAGACCCUCUCGUCGUAACAUCCCCUCUGCAUCUGAGAGGACGAUCGGGUAACGGAAUGGCUUCUCCGACAAAAUGGAAGCCGGAGCGACGCUCCUUCCUCGGCGGCCUCCUCUCGCCCUCGAACCGGAAGAGAACAUCUCCUGGCAAGUCUCGAACCUUUCCUUCGCCUAUCGAGUUCGAGCUAGUAACUGCUCCUCGGAUGCCUUUCUAAUUGCAAUGUCAUCCAUAUGACGUAGGAUGAUAGCUUUAUGGAGUAGAGUUCCUUUUGCAACGAGCAGUUCAGGUGAAAUUAUCAAAUUCCAUGGCAUCUUUACCUCCAUGAAAACCAUGUUUAUGGUCUUCCAGAAAUCAAUGAAAGAUAAAUUGAAGCUUGAUCUCGCACAAAAGAUGAUGAAAAAGAGAGGCAGAGUCAAAGAUUAUCCGAAGGUAGCGUUAACAAACAUAUGGAAAUACUGAUUCAUCUCAGAAAAGGUGCAGAGAGUAAGUUUCAUCAUUAAUAUCGUGGAUAGUUAACUAGCCCGUGACUGGAUUCCAGUACUUGGCAACUAAUGUGUUUCAGAUCAGGGUUGAUUGAUGCCUUCGUUCCUUGAUUGUUUUCUGUUAUUAUUUUGUGAUCUACUGUUGGUUCGAAAGAGUAAUACCGUAUCUCACUGUUAUUAUUAUGGACAUCAAAACGGUUGUUGUAUCCCAAGAAGUUUGUCGUGUUCAUUUAUAGUUUGAAAUGGUGUAGCUGAACUUUUUUCGUUA